UGGGGAAUAUUGGACAAUGGGCGAAAGCCUGAUCCAGCCAUGCCGCGUGUGUGAAGAAGGUCUUCGGAUUGUAAAGCACUUUAAGUUGGGAGGAAGGGCAGUAAAUUAAUACUUUGCUGUUUUGACGUUACCGACAGAAUAAGCACCGGCUAACUCUGUGCCAGCAGCCGCGGUAAUACAGAGGGUGCAAGCGUUAAUCGGAAUUACUGGGCGUAAAGCGCGCGUAGGUGGUUCAUUAAGUUGGAUGUGAAAUCCCCGGGCUCAACCUGGGAACUGCAUUCAAACUGACGAGCUAGAGUAUGGUAGAGGGUGGUGGAAUUUCCUGUGUACGGUGAAAUGCGUAGAUAUAGGAAGGAACACCAGUGGCGAAGGCGACCACCUGGACUGAUACUGACACUGAGGUGCGAAAGCGUGGGGAGCAAACAGGAUUAGAUACCCU
rnacentral:rRNA from 1 species